CUUAACUGUUGUGAGAAGAAAAGUUAUGUUCUGGGUUAUUGUGGCUUACAGAAGAUUGUUGCUACUGUUUGGAGUGAUUUUAGCCUUCAGAUUGAAGCCAUUGAAGGCUAUUUGGUUGUGUUCUACGCAUAGUGAGGUUGUGGAACUUGUCUUUAGCGAGAUACGAUUGUGGAGAGAGAGACUUGUGGCUGACGGUCUUUACUUGUGGACUCUGUUGCUGAGGUGAACCUUUGCAUUAUCGUGGAGGCUGUCAUCCAGCUUUAGUCAUUUUAGAUUAUAUUCCUUUUCAUUGGGUUUGUAUACCUG